CGAAAUCGCCAAAUAAACAAACAGCAGCGAUGGCUCAAGCGAAGGACACGCACAAAUGCUUUUUCUGGAAGAAAUGGGGGUGGAGGGGAAAGUGAUCAGGCAACAGGCUUCUAAGAAGUGGGAGAACCUUAAAAAGAAGUACAAGACCCGCUCUAUCACAGAACGCACCUUGGAUUGGCGGUAAUUAAAGCGCUGCUGCACCCGCCCAAUCACCGGCUCUUUAUAGGGAGUCAACAGACAUACGGGCGUCUGGAGGCAGGGGUACCCACCAUCACCUAAAAGCAUGUAACCCGGCGGUGGAUACCUGGCAGUCAAAUAAAAAGAACUGUUUUUCAUUACCCUUGUCCUUUAUGUUUCUUGGACGGAAUGUAACUGAUAAUUUCGUUGCU
ensembl:lncRNA